ACUUUAUUUGAUUUCCUUCGGGAUUGAUUAUUUUGUGACUGAGUGGCGGACGGGUGAGUAACGCGUGGGUAACCUGCCUUGUACAGGGGGAUAACAGUUGGAAACGGCUGCUAAUACCGCAUAAGCGCACAGGACCGCAUGGUCCGGUGUGAAAAACUCCGGUGGUAUGGGAUGGACCCGCGUCUGAUUAGCCAGUUGGCAGGGUAACGGCCUACCAAAGCGACGAUCAGUAGCCGACCUGAGAGGUUGAACGGCCACAUUGGGACUGAGACACGGCCCAAACUCC
rnacentral:rRNA from 1 species